rnacentral:rRNA from 1 species
ACCCUAACCGGGCAAAGGUAGCAUAAUCAUUUGUCUACUAAUUAUAGACCUGCAUGAAAGGCAAAAUGAGGGUCUAACUGUCUCUUAUAAUGAAUCAAUUAAACUGAUCUCCUAGUAAAAAAGCUAGAAUUUCCACAUAAGACCAGAAGACCCUGUGAAGCUUAAACUAAAUUAUUAAACCAUAUAAUAACCACUUUCGGUUGGGGCGACCUUGGAAAAAAAUAAAACUUCCAAAAAACAUGACUACUCAUACCACCCAGGCCUACAAGCCAAUAAACGACCCAGCACAGCUGAUCACUGAACCAAGUUACUCCAGGGAUAACAGCGCAAUCCUCUUCAAGAGCCCAUAUCAAAAAGAGGGUUUACGACCUCGAUGUCGGAUCAGGACAUCCUAAUGGUGCAAGCCGCUAUA